AUUUUUCAGCCUUAGGGAUAUGUCUGCUCAGAUGCACCAGAUCUAUAGAAAUUUGCUUCGAAUUUUCAUCUCGGUUGUGAACAACUUAUUUUGCAAGAGAUCAUGGCGAAAGUGAAAAAGGAGCAGCUGCAGGAGGAGGUUGUGGAUCCACACGAGAAAAUGGGUUUCCUUUUGCAAGCAUUAUAUGAAAUUGAAGGCUGUUUUGACUCCCCUACUUCCAAGCCAAGCUCUGCUACUCGGAGAGCCACUGGUCCGAUGAGACGGUCUGCGAAAUUCUGGACAGAGGAAGA